UACGGGGGGAGCAAGCGUUGUUCGGAUUUACUGGGCGUAAAGGGCGCGUAGGCGGCGUGACAAGUCACUUGUGAAAUCUCCGGGCUUAACUCGGAACGGUCAAGUGAUACUGUCGUGCUAAAGUACAGAAGGGGCAACUGGAAUUCUCGGUGUAGCGGUGAAAUGCGUAGAUAUCGAGAGGAACACCUGCGGCGAAGGCGGGUUGCUGGGCUGAUACUGACGCUGAGGCGCGAAAGCCAGGGGAGCGAACGGG
rnacentral:rRNA from 1 species